rnacentral:lncRNA from 1 species
AUAAAAUAAAAAUCUAAUAAAAACAAAUCCUAAAAAAUAAAACUAAUAAAAACAAAUCUUAAAAUAUAAAUCUUAAAGAAAUAAAACUAAUAAAAACAAAUCCUAAAAAAUGAAACUAAUAAAAACAAAUCUUAAAAAAUAAAACUAAUAAAAACAAAUUUUAAAAAAUAAAACUAACAAAAACAUAAUCUAAAAAAAUAUAGAAAACCCUUAAACGGAUGUGGGAAUCCGUCAACGGAUGUCAACAUCCGUUUAAGGGUAAAUGGAAGUCGCUAUCCGUUUUAACGGUUUUACGAAGGUAUUACUAACCUCGACUCGAAGAGGAUCGCUGGUUAAAAGUUGGAUACAACACUACCACACCAAUGUAAUGCAAAGAUAUAAUAAUUGAAGGACAAAUUCUUCCAGAAGAAAUCGAUAUCUCAAUUAUCACUUGAAAUAUAAGAAGAAUGGGAGAAAGAAUUUCUAGAAAAAUAGAACAAAGAAUUCUUGGGAAGAAAGCGUAAAGAUGAAAGCAUGAAGAUAAAAA